UACGUAGGGGGCAAGCGUUGUCCGGAAUCAUUGGGCGUAAAGCGCACGUAGGCGGCUUGCCAAGUCGGACGUGAAAUCCCUCAGCUCAACUGAGGACGUGCAUCCGAAACUGGCGAGCUUGAGUACUGAAGAGGAUCGCGGAAUUCCCGGUGUAGAGGUGAAAUUCGUAGAUAUCGGGAGGAACACCAGUGGCGAAGGCGGCGAUCUGGGCAGAUACUGACGCUGAGGUGCGAAAGCGUGGGGAGCAAACAGG
rnacentral:rRNA from 1 species